UUCGAUGCAACGCGAAGAACCUUACCUGGUCUUGACAUCCCGGAGACCCUUAGGAAACUAGGGGUGCUUCCAUCUGGAAGAAUCUGGAGACAGGUGCUGCAUGGCUGUCGUCAGCUCGUGUCGUGAGAUGUUGGGUUAAGUCCCGCAACGAGCGCAACCCUUGCCUUUAGUUGCCAGCAGUUCGGCUGGGCACUCUAAAGGGACUGCCGGUGUUAAACCGGAGGAAGGUGGGGAUGACGUCAAGUCCUCAUGGCCUUUAUGACCAGGGCUACACACGUACUACAAUGGCCGAUACAAAGGGCAGCGACACUGCGAGGUGAAGCCAAUCCCGUAAAAUCGGUCUCAGUCCGGAUUGGAGUCUGCAACUCGACUCCAUGAAGUCGGAAUCGCUAGUAAUCGUGAAUCAGAAUGUCACGGUGAAUACGUUCCCGGGCCUU
rnacentral:rRNA from 1 species